ACAAGUGGAAACAGAGUAAAGGUCUGGACCCUAAAAUUCACAGUUCUUUUCAUUCUUCUCCCGGGACUCAAGAAGCACAGUUUGGAAACCAAGAAAUGAAAUUCCCUGUAUCUGCAGCCAGACUUUCAGGUCUAGAGGAAGAAAAUGAAUCACACGUGUUGUGAAGCUUCAGCAUCAUGGUGUCCUUGUGUUGCCACAUGCUCCUGGGUGAACCCGCAUGACAGAAAUCAGAAGAUUGGAGCGGGGACCUCAGCUGGAUCUUUAUGAGAGGCUCCAGGGAGCACGGAACUCAAGAACAUGACACAAUUCGUCUUGCAGCUGAGAUUCAGAGAAUCUGAAGUUCACCGUUUGUACACUUGUUUCGUUAUGCCUCCUUUGAGAAAUUAAAACGUCUGUCAUAUCGUGGGCAUUUGUGGGCUCCAAAUCAUAAAGUAGGCUGUCCAUAA